ACGGCCAUACCAUGCUGAAAACACCGGUUCUCGUGCGAUCACCGAAGUUAAGCAUAGUUGGGCGCGGUCAGUAUUUGAGAGGUUGACCACCUGGGAACACCGAGAGC